ACGGAGGAUCCAAGCGUUAUCCGGAUUUAUUGGGUUUAAAGGGUGCGCAGGCGGAUGUAUAAGUCAGUGGUGAAAUCUCCCAGCUUAACUGGGGAACUGCCAUUGAUACUGUAUGUCUAGAUUUUGGUUGGCGUAGGCGGAAUAUGUCAAGUAGCGGUGAAAUGCGUAGAUAUGACAUAGAACACCGAUCGGGAAGCCAGCUUACGAAGCCACAAAUGACGCUCAUGCACGAAAGCGUGGGGAUCAAACAG
rnacentral:rRNA from 1 species